AAGGAGGACUUUUCAAAGGGUAAAACUCACUAGAAUUCACCAAUGUGUAAUCGCUGUCCUUGUUUAUAUGUAUAUGUAUGUCCAUUAUGCCAUUUGAAAUGACGAGAUAACGAGAAUUACCAUAUUGAUCUUUAAUUUAUCCUGUUAAUAUGACCUGUCGCCUGUGAAGAAGAAAAAUAACCUGUUUUCUAUUCCUCGUUCUUGUAGUAUUUCUAACAUUUUUCACUCAAGAAAUUUCAGAUUUCUUUCAUGAAAACUUUUUCAAAUGAAAUUUAUAAACACAAGGCUCUACAAUUCAAGAAAAGAAUGACCUUUACAAAUGUUCAUUUAUUAUUUACUGGUUAUGAAACUGUUUGUAAGCUGUGCCGUCACUUUGAGGAAUAGAGAUGUCGAUGUUAUGAUCUGUCGUGUUAUGUUCAGUAUUAAAUCUUUUCUGUUGUUUCUUUUUAAGUUAAUUUGGUUUGUGCCUGGUUGUAAGUUUUUUUUUAAAUGCUAAUGAGAGAGAAAGAGACCUAUAUGCUUAUUAGAAUGGAUGGAUAUUUGUGUCAAGAUGAGAUGGCAUGAAAAAUACAAAAUACACACUGGAAAUAAAUAUUUUCUUAAAAACAUUCAACAAGAGAUUUAUGCUAAGCAGCAUCAAAUACAGAAAUUGUGCUUAUUUUUCUAUCACAGAACUCCUUGCAAAUUGCUUUCUUACAUGUAGAUGCAAAUAUAGGCAAAAUCAUAUUAAAUAAAUAAUACAAUGUUAAAAAAUUAAUUUAGCCUUGCAAUUAUAUUGCAUUGUCCCAAAAUGUUUGCUUUAACUAACUAGGACACAUGUAUGCAUUUCAUGUGUACCCAUUGUUGCUUCUAUUUGUUUCUUGUUUUGAUCCAAGAUUUGUGAUAUUGGGUAUUCUCUAUUGCUCUACAUCCAUAUUUCUUACACACAGGCAAUGCUUACUACAGCAAAACAGUUAUAACAAAAACAGUCUGAUACAAAAAUGUACUAUUGGUAAUGCUGACAUCAAAAUCUACCAGCUCUGGAAUAUGUGUUAUAUUAAAGUUAUGUAAUAGAAAGAAUUCAAAACUAUCUAUAACAAAGAUUGUUAAAGAUAGUUUUGAAGCCUUUGAAUUACAAAAAUUUAAUAAAACACAUAUCUUCUGGCAACAACAAACGAUUAAACAUUAAAAUGUAGAAGAUUGUUACCAUACUCCUAUGAAGUUCAAUGUUGAAACACUGUGCUUUAAAAGUCUUAUUUUUUGUUUAUAUUAGACGACCAUUAUUUAAUUGUAUCUGUUGUUAGAAUCGAUUGUUAUCAGAUUCAUAUCAGGAGGAGUAGCAAGAGUGUGAGCUAGUAGAUUGUGAUGUCAGCUUCACACAGCAGUAAUGUGAUAUAAAUCAGAUUGUUUAUUUCUGUGUUAAGUUAAGGUGAGAUUGUUGUCCAAAAUGUUAUAUAUUAUGAAUGAAUAUUGUGUAUGCAUUGUUGAAAAAUGAUAAAUACUCAAUUAAAAUUGUAUCAAGAAUGC
rnacentral:sRNA from 1 species